AAUAUCGAAACGUACAUUUGAAAUUACAAAUUUUACCCCUAGUUCGUUAUUUUACGUGUAGUUUUGUGUUGUGUGGUGUUGUAGGACCACACACACACUCAUACACCCCGUUUCACUCUCCCGUGUUUUCCUCUCCCUCUGUCUCUUUUCUGUCACUUCUCUCUCUCUCUCUCCCAAGCUCCGUUCUUCCUCCUUCUUUCUUCAAAAACGUACGGACAACACACAAAUCACCCAAACCUUGAUGGAUCGAAGAAACUAAGGACACCAUCGAACUCGUGAAGCUCGUACGAGUGCAACCAUACCAUUUUCAGCUUGUAGAUGUGUUAGUGAGGUCCCAAGGAGCCUCGGAGUACUUCGUUGGAGAAGUUUGGACGUCGGGAUCGUCGUGUUCAAAGUUGGCCGGAGCUGUCGGGGCUUUUUCCGGCGAAACCACGGCGAGUUAGGGGUCGAGACAGAAAUUCCGGCAAAACACUAUUUCCGGCGAAACCAGUCCGGCGACGCGAG